rnacentral:rRNA from 1 species
AGAUUGAACGCUGGCGGCAUGCCUUACACAUGCAAGUCGAACGGCAGCACGGGAGCAAUCCUGGUGGCGAGUGGCGAACGGGUGAGUAAUACAUCGGAACGUGCCCAAUCGUGGGGGAUAACGCAGCGAAAGCUGUGCUAAUACCGCAUAAGAUCUACGGAUGAAAGCAGGGGAUCGCAAGACCUUGCGCGAAUGGAGCGGCCGAUGGCAGAUUAGGUAGUUGGUGAGGUAAAGGCUCACCAAGCCUUCGAUCUGUAGCUGGUCUGAGAGGACGA